GAACUGGGCUGCAGUCGACGAUUCCUACGGGAGGCAGCAGCUAAGAAUCUUCCGCAAUGGGCGAAAGCCUGACGGAGCGACGCCGCGUGGACGAAGAAGGCCGGAAGGUUGUAAAGUCCUUUUCCUGGGGGAGAAUAAUGCGGGGAGGGAAUGCCCUGCAGAUGACGUGAACCAGGGAAUAAGCCCCGGCUAAUUACGUGCCAGCAGCCGCGGUAACACGUAAGGGGCGAGCGUUGUUCGGAUUUAUUGGGCGUAAAGGGCGUGUAGGCGGUAGUGCAAGUCUGGUGUGAAAGGCCCCGGCUCAACCGGGGAAGCGCGCUGGAAACUGUGCUGCUAGAGUUUAGGAGGGGAAGCUGGAAUUCCUGGUGUAGGGGUGAAAUCUGUAGAGAUCAGGAAGAACACCGGAGGCGAAGGCGAGCUUCUGGCCAUAGACUGACGCUGAGGCGCGAAAGCGUGGGGAGCAAACAGGAUUAGAUACCCUGGUAGUCCACGCUGUAAACGAUGUGCACUAGGUGUUGGGGGUAUGAACUCUCGGUGCCGGAGCUAACGCGUUAAGUGCACCGCCUGGGGAGUACGCCGGCAACGGUAAAACUCAAAGGAAUUGACGG
rnacentral:rRNA from 1 species